ensembl:piRNA 21ur-6210 ncRNA
UUCUGCAUUGAAAAACUCCCC